rnacentral:rRNA from 1 species
AUGUGGCUUGGGAUCUCCAACUCCAAGCAAGCACAAGGACAAGGAGCACUGGUCGUCAUGCUUGGCCUCUUCACCAUAUCCAUAUCCAUGUCGAUGCUGCCUCUGGCCGCACCCACCAUCCACCACGAAGGAGGCGCUCAAGGCGGAGGGGGGAGACCAAACCCAGCCAACGCGCUGGUAGCGCUGGUGAACGCCGACCGGGCAGCCGCCAAGCUACCCGCCCUCCGCACCACCAGGGGCCUCGGCUGCAUGGCGCUACAGUGCAUCGCCCGCUGCCUCGCCCUCUCCCCCGCCACCGCCUGCGCCGCCGACGGCACGCUGGCGCCGCCCUGCCACCCGCCGGAGACCGACAUCACCGAGGUCUACGCCGCCAACUGCGGGGUCGAGCUGCCCACGGUGGACGUCGUCUCCGGCCGCAUCCUCGGCUGCAGCAGCCAAAGCUCCGACGGCGUCAGCGGGGACGCGCUCCACAUGGCCAACGCCACCGUGAUCCGCGGCAGGGAGCACGCGCAGGUGGGCGCCGGCGUCGACCGCGGCGGCUUCUGGUGCCUCCUCUUCAGCAGCGGCAGCCCCAACUCCAGCUUCCGGCUGGAGGCCGCCGGCAGGGGCAUCGCCCAGCAGCACGGCUGCUUCAGCGACCCCGACGUCACCCUCUCCUGCACCACCUCCGCCGCCCACCACCAAACCAGACGACUCACCGCCGGAGACACAUCCUUUGCCUUGGCUGCUUCCACUCUGCUUUUCCUCCUCCAGUCUAGUCUAGUCUAG